GACGAACGCUGGCGGCGUGCUUAACACAUGCAAGUCGAACGAUGAAGCUGGAGCUUGCUCUAGCGGAUUAGUGGCGAACGGGUGAGUAACACGUGAGCAAUCUGCCCUUGACUCUGGGAUAACUGCGGGAAACUGUAGCUAAUACCGGAUACUUUCACCGGGGGGCAUCCUCUGGUGAUGAAAGAAUUUCGGUCAAGGAUGAGCUCGCGGCCUAUCAGCUUGUUGGGGAGGUAACGGCUCACCAAGGCGACGACGGGUAACCGGCCUGAGAGGGUGACCGGUCACACUGGGACUGAGACACGGCCCAGACUCCUACGGGAGGCAGCAGUGGGGGAAAUUGCGCAAUGGGCGCAAGCCUGAUGCAGCAACGCCGCGUGAGGGAUGAAGGCCUUCGGGUUGGAAACCUCUUUUAGCAGGGAAGAAGCGAAAGUGACGGUACCUGCAGAAAAAGCACCGGCUAACUACGUGCCAGCAGCCGCCGCCG
rnacentral:rRNA from 1 species